ACCCAACAGCUAGCCCGCCCAAGUAAUUACAAUCCCCACAUAUAAAUAACCCCUAAUUACCCCAGUAUUUAAAUUAAACAAAACAUUUUUCCCCCUUAGUAUAGGAGACAGAAAAGGGAACAAGGCGCAAUAGAGAAAGUACCGCAAGGGAAUGCUGAAAGAGAAAUGAAAUAACCCAGUAAAGCCUAAAAAAGCAGAGACUUAGCCUCGUACCUUUUGCAUCAUGAUUUAGUAAGUGUACCUUAAGCAAAGAGCACUUUAGUUUAAACCCCCGAAACUACGUGAGCUACUUCAAGACAGCCUAUUAAUAGGGCCAACCCGUCUCUGUUGCAAAAGAGUGGGGAGAGCUUUGAGUAGCGGUGAUAAACCUACCGAACCUAGUUAUAGCUGGUUGCCCAAGAAAUGAAUAGAAGUUCAGCCCCUUGGCUUCUCUUUUCACCAUGGCCUUACCUCCCAUUGAUACAUUAAAGAAACCGAGGGAGUUAGUCAAAGGGGGUACAGCCCCUUUGAAUCAAGACACAACUUUCCCAGGAGGGU
rnacentral:rRNA from 1 species